rnacentral:rRNA from 1 species
AGCACCACAACGGGUGGAGCUUGCGGUUUAAUUGGAUUCAACGCCGGAAAUCUACCGGGACCGACAGCAAUAUGAAGGCCAGGCUGAAGACUUUGCCGGAUUAGCUGAGAGGUGGUGCAUGGCCGUCGUCAGUUCGUACUGUGAAGCAUCCUGUUAAGUCAGGCAACGAGCGAGACCCACGCCCACAGUUGCCAGCGUACUCUCCGGAGUGACGGGUACACUGUGGGACCGCCGCUGCUAAAGCGGAGGAAGGAAUGGGCAACGGUAGGUCAGUAUGCCCCGAAUAUCCCGGGCUACACGCGAGCUACAAUGGUUGGUACAAUGGGUAUCUACCCCGAAAGGGGACGGAAAUCUCCUAAAGCCAAUCUUAGUUCGGAUUGAGGGCUGCAACUCGCCCUCAUGAAGCUGGAAUCCGUAGUAAUCGCGUUUCAACAGAACGCGGUGAAUACGUCCCUGCUCCUU